GGCCGUAGUCGGUGAAUGUUCUAUUCGGAGCUAUAACUUUAUAGGAAACUUCUAUACCAACGUAAUUUCGUUUUGAAUACCGUGAAAGAUCAUCUCGUUGAAAGUUCUAUCAUUACGACAAUUGAUUUUCAUCUGAACGAUCGAUUUGCAAGUGCAAUUUGAUUUUGGUGCAAACUUUAAAACAUCAUGAAUUCUUCCACCGUUAAAUAUCGUUGGCAUGCUUUUUACAUCUGCAAAUAUGGAUCGGACGUGUGUUGCAACUACCAGUUUAUAAAUGAUCAUCCAAACGAGUCCAAGGAAUGUCCAAGAUGUCACGCAACAUGGAAUUACCCGAAUGAUCAGCAUCUUCUCCGUGAACAACGACGAGUUACAAACGGAUAACCAACAAUGUUGAUGCAUUUCUGGUCGGCUUCGGAAAUCGAAAUAUCCAUAUCGUAAUCAUCAUUGUUUUGUCAUAAAUAAAUAUUGAAUAAACUAUACAAUUUUUGUUUGUGCAA